GAUGAACGCUGGCGGCGUGCCUAAUACAUGCAAGUCGAGCGAACAGACGAGGAGCUUGCUCCUCUGACGUUAGCGGCGGACGGGUGAGUAACACGUGGAUAACCUACCUAUAAGACUGGGAUAACUUCGGGAAACCGGAGCUAAUACCGGAUAAUAUAUUGAACCGCAUGGUUCAAUAGUGAAAGACGGUUUUGCUGUCACUUAUAGAUGGAUCCGCGCCGCAUUAGCUAGUUGGUAAGGUAACGGCUUACCAAGGCAACGAUGCGUAGCCGACCUGAGAGGGGGAUCGGCCACACGGAAACUGAGACACGGCCCAGACUCCAACGGGAGGCAGCGGUAGGAAAUCUGCCGCAAUGGGCGAAGGCCUGACGGAGCAACGCGGCGUGAGGAAUGAAGGUCUUCGGAUCGUAAAACUCUGUUAUGAGGGAAGAACAAAUGUGUAAGUAACUAUGCACGUCUUGACGGUACCUAAGCAGAAAGCCACGGCUAACUACGU
rnacentral:rRNA from 1 species